UACGUAGGGUGCGAGCGUUGUCCGGAAUUACUGGGCGUAAAGAGCUCGUAGGUGGUUUGUCGCGUUGUUCGUGAAAACUCACAACUCAAUUGUGGGCGUGCGGGCGAUACGGGCAGACUGGAGUACUGCAGGGGAGACUGGAAUUCCUGGUGUAGCGGUGGAAUGCGCAGAUAUCAGGAGGAACACCGGUGGCGAAGGCGGGUCUCUGGGCAGUAACUGACGCUGAGGAGUGAAAGCGUGGGGAGCGAACAGG
rnacentral:rRNA from 1 species